UCGUGGGUGCCCUCGGCAGCGCGGCGCGGGCACGGGGGAUUCCAAGGGUGAGCGGGGGUCUCCCGUCAGCGGGGCGGGCUCCGGGCAGGCCGCCCCAGGGAGCGGAGCGGCGCGCGAUCCCGCAGGAAGCGGCGGCGGGGCCGGAGGAAGCGCGGCCGGGGCUCCCCCUGCUCCCGGCGCUCCCCAUUGUUCCCCGGCCGCCUCUUUUCGCGCCGCUUUCCGCCGGCGGGGAGGAGGGAGAGCCCCGGGCCCCGCAUGCUGUGUGCUCGCAGGCAGCGGCGCGGGGGGACCCGCCGGGAAACCGGGUUCAUGAGUAGAGAGGAGCCUUUAGAAGUGCCAUCCACUGAGGGAGCUCCGUGAGGCUGUAGCUCACGUGUUACUUGAAAGUUGCAUCUGUUUAGCUGCAGCAUGUAUCUUUUUGCACAUAGGAAAAGAUCACAGCUUUCUCAACAAAGACCCAAUCUGAAAAUGGAGUAAAAAUUACUGUGAGAAGUUUGCUUUCUGGAAGGAAGUGAGUUUUCCUGCUCUACAGCUCCAAGUCCUAUUAUCAAUUUACGUUUUCUAAUAUCGUAUGCAUUUUAUAUCGAGUCUGUUAUUUUUUUUGAAGAUUCUUCUGGUGAUUAUAUUCAACUGGUAAUGUGGCUUUGUAAAUUAAAGACUUUUUCUUGUUCAAUGCUUUGUUUGAUUCACUAAAAUUACAAUUUGAUUUUGCACAUUUUACGGAAAAAAGGUGACAUUUAAACUAAGCAUUCAAAAACCUUAGUUUUAUUGUUACAACUGCUUAUUUUGUAGUAAAAAAUGUGUGAGUAUGUCUAUUUUUGUGUAUGAAACUGAAAUGCUAUUCACUAUGCUAAUGUUUCCUUGAGGAAUGCCUUAAACUUUUAAAAACAAUUUGCAAUUGGAGAGUGUAAUUUUCUUUCACUUACACAUUCAUUCUGUUUGUGAAAGUACCUAAGAAAAAUUGAAACACAGAAUUUUUUUGUAAGUUUCUUAUAUUCUAACUUAUUUAGCUCCUAGAUUUUGUAGGUUCCUUUAAGUGAAUUGGAUUUUUUCUUUGUAUUUAGAUUAACAGUAAUAUUGUUCACUGAAUUACAUUCUUCUCUAAUUAUUAAUCUCUAGUAUAUCAAUAAAAGAAGGACAGGCUUCCUUUUUUAAAAAAGGAAGACUGGCCUUCUGUGUCAUGUCAGUGCUUAUUAAAUACUACAAUCAUAAGAACAUACAUGCUACAAGAUUUUAUGUUCUGAUUCCAUAGCUGUUACAGGCUUAGUACUUGCAGUAUUUAUUUAGUGGUAAUGCAUUUCUUUUCCUAUUUUGCAUUUCAAAGGUCUUCUCUAAAUGAUUAUUUUACAGAACUAUCAAGAGGUUAUCUAAAUUUUUCAAUCAAAUAUUACACAGUACCAUAAAGUGGUAGUCAUGGAGUUUCCUUCAGUCCAUGUACACUCUUUCUAUAGAAAGAAUUAAAGAGAAAUCUAUGAGAGGACAACAAAUGUUUCAUUAAAUAAUUAAAUGUAUUAGGCUUGACUAAAUUUUAACCAAAGCAAAAUUUUGGGCUGUUCCAUACUGAACUGGUGUGUUACAUGGUGUGAGUUUAGAAUAUUUUUAUUUGAAAACUAUACAGUAGGUUCUUCACAAAUAUACUCUUGUUGCUAUGGUGCAGCAUUAAUCAAGUUGUUGCAAAGUAAUUAGUUUUUUCUUUGGUGAUGCUUCUUUAUAAAACUAAAGAUUGAGCUUUAAAAUAGCUAACAUAAAAAAAAAGAUGUUUGGGAAUUGAUUGUACUAGUUGCUUUUCAUAGAAGAAAUUGCAGGAAGACCUCAAUAAAUUUAAAAAAAAAAUGGUGAGAAAAAUUUAUAAUUGUUUGUUACAAUACAUUUACUAAAUGUAUAAAUUCAUCCAACAAAAUAUAUUUAAUGUAUUUUUAUUUAAAAAGGAUAUUUAUUUUAAUUUAUAUGUCAGGGAAAUAAAGGAUAGAUUUGCUGCUGUA